AACGAACGCUGGCGGCAUGCCUAACACAUGCAAGUCGAACGAGACCUUCGGGUCUAGUGGCGCACGGGUGCGUAACGCGUGGGAACCUGCCCUUAGGUUCGGAAUAACUCACAGAAAUUUGAGCUAAUACCGGAUAAUGUCUUCGGACCAAAGAUUUAUCGCCUUUGGAUGGGCCCGCGUUGGAUUAGCUGGUUGGUGGGGUAAUAGCCUACCAAGGCGACGAUCCUUAGCUGGUCUGAGAGGAUGAUCAGCCACACUGGGACUGAGACACGGCCCAGACUCCUACGGGAGGCAGCAGUGGGGAAUAUUGGACAAUGGGCGAAAGCCUGAUCCAGCAAUGCCGCGUGAGUGAUGAAGGCCUUAGGGUUGUAAAGCUCUUUUACCAGGGAUGAUAAUGACAGUACCUGGAGAAUAAGCUCCGGCUAACUCCGUG
rnacentral:rRNA from 1 species